rnacentral:lncRNA from 1 species
UGUAGGGUUAAAGUUCUUCUUGAAAAUUAAAUCGAAUAGAUGAAAUGGAUCCAUAGGGCAUCUGAUUUGUUUCCGUUUCCAGAUUGGAAUCAACUGUUUUAUGAUACCUUUUUUGCUUUUGUUUUGAUUUGUUUGUUGCUUUUUGAUUGGGAACUACAUAAAUGCUGAAAUUUUGGCUGGGAUCUGAUGAUGGGCAAACAUUUUGAUGUCGAUCUGGUCUUGUAAUUCACCACAGAAGAGGUUCUUUCGUAGAGAUCUACCGAAAUGUCUCCGGUUGAGUCGCCGCGCGAGGAGAAUGUGUACCUGGCCAAGCUUGCGGAGCAGGCGGAACGGUACGAGGAGAUGGUUGAGUUCAUGGAGAAGGUGGUGAAGACGAUCAACAAGGAGGAGCUUACCGUGGAGGAGCGCAACCUCCUCUCGGUGGCCUACAAGAACGUGAUCGGAGCUCGCCGUGCGUCCUGGCGCAUUAUCUCCUCUAUCGAGCAGAAGGAGGAGAGCCGUGGGAACGAGGAUCACGUCGCGUUGAUCAAGGAGUACCGUGGCAAGGUUGAGGCCGAACUCAGCAAGAUCUGUGACGGGAUCCUGAAGUUGCUUGAUUCCCACCUUGUCCCCUCUGCAACUUCUGCGGAGUCCAAGGUGUUUUACCUUAAGAUGAAGGGUGACUACCACAGGUUAGGGGAAACGUCUUUCUUUGAUAUGAAGAAUAAAUUUGUACCAAAAAUGAAGAUUUUUUUUGUUUGGUAGUUAUGAUCUUGUUACGUUAUCGUGCUUAGGUACCUGGCAGAGUUUAAGACUGGAGCUGAGAGGAAAGAAGCCGCUGAGAGCACACUUGUGGCUUACAAAUCUGCACAG